GUGAGUUCAGACUCUUCAGGCUAUUUGGCACCCAGAUCUAUGGUGAGGUGUGACAUAUGGGAUGUAAAGUUUGAUGCCUGCUCCGACUCCAGUCUUGCUAACACACACGAAACCUUUGGUAAAUCAUGACCCUGCCUUGGGGAAAAGGGCAGUCUGGGAGAGCUUCUUCAAGGCAGCCUGGCUUCAAUGCAGUCUGGGGCAUGACUGAGAUAGGCAUACGUGGUGAGGAACUGGAGGGCAACUGGGUAAAGAGCUGCAGUGUGGGCAGAGGUGUAGUGUGGGUCACAUCGCGGAUAGCCACUGGCCAAAGCAGGGAACAGAGACAGAAUGAGGAAGAGCUCUGUGGGGAGGGUGGGGCACAGGGUGGAGAACCUUCAAAGUCCAAAGAGUAUGACUUGUUGGGAUUCAACGCUGUAGGCAGUAGGGAGCCAUGGAAGGCUCUUAGGUGGAGAAAUGACAGCCGGACAUUAGUGAGCAAGCCCUGUCUCCCUGAGCAGCAUGGGUGGUCCUCUGAGCACGCCAGGCACGAGUGUGCAGGGAGCUGGUGCAAAUGCCUCUGUGUGCGGGUGAGCAUCUGUGUUGUGACUCUGCCCACGCAUGUGCUUCAGCGUGCCGAGUGGCUGCACGCCCCAGAUCCAUGCGGCACGUGCCGGCCGGUGAGGGUGCUGGGCAUUGGGAGGUGGCGGGGAGGGCGACGUAUGCGUGUUGUUUGUGGGCAUGUGUGUGAGUGUGUGCAUGUGGGCCGUGGGGCCUCACAGCAUGUGUGUGCACACUCCGGCAUGUGCGUGUGUCCCCCACCCCCAGGCCUGCCCCACCCAUGCAUGUGACCUGCCAUGUGAUUUGAAGCUGUCUUUCAGAAUCACUAUCAGUGGCCCCUGAGGAGCGUCAGCCAUGGUAGGUACAUGCCUCACUGCCUGCUGCAUGAAUGGUCUGCCUGCCCCGCUGCCCCAGCUCCACACAGGGGGCAUACCUGGAGCCUCAGAGCCAGGCUCCCUGCCCCUCCCUUCUGGAGCUGCAGACUUGCUCUUUCCUCUUUCUGUCCUUGUGCUGCUGGCUGUCUCACUUUGCUCCCUGUGAGCCAUGGGACUCAGUGCCACUGCUCAAGGUCUCCAUGGCUGAGCCUGGGGGCUCUUACAACAGGCUCCAUGCCCAAGGUGGCAGUUGUGGAACCAUCAGAGAGGGCACAGAGCUCAUGGUUUAUGGUGUAGGGGCUGGGAGCUUGGAGGGGGUUGUGUGGGGGGCUGGACUCAGGCGGCCAGAGGCCUGGGAACAUCAUCCUGGGCACGCCGUACCUGUCACGCAGUCUGAGUCAUGCUGCCAGGGCAGGUAUCCAGCUCCCAGCCUGGGAGUGCCAAGAGCCAAAUCCACGGCAGAUUAGGGGUGAUAGUCACGGUCCCACGUCCUCUAUCUGUCAGCAAUCCAGUGGUGAUCUAGGAUAAAAGCCUGAGAGUCCUAUACACGCGGUCAUCCCACAACACACUUCAUAGGCCAUGGAAGGACACACAGCCCCCUUCCCUCCCUCCCAGGUACCAUGAUAGCUGCUAGCGUGCGACUGAAGGCAGGGUCCCUGGCCCCUGCUGAAGCACUACUGCUGGCCAGCAGGCUCACGCACCUUGGCCUGUUGCUUCUAGGGGUUGCCUGUGCUAUUCAGCCAAUAGUGCUGCUGGCCCAGCUGAGCUCCGCCUAGAGAGCUCACUUCCCUUUCCUGCCACGGAGUCUCCCUCUUCUGCUUUUCCCAGCAGGAAGGGCCCAGCCUCACCUAUGUAACCUGCAGCCCCCCGCCAACCAGUUAAGGCUCCCCUCUUAGACUUAGAAGUCUAUGGCCAAUGGCAUCCGGCUACCUGCCCUCCCUGCCUUCCCCAGGGUUCCUCAGAGGACCCUGGGCUUUCUGAUGGCCCAGAGGGGCCUCUGGCAUUCACUCCAGCCAGCCAUCCCUUAUAGCUCCACCAUUUUGGUUCAAUCAGUGUUCCUUCUCUAUCAGGUCUGGUGGCUGUUGGAUGGGGCUCUCCAAGCAAGAGGUGGCCCUGGGCCAGUGCGUUGGAAGACAUGGGGACCACAGAAGAGGGAAGCCCGAGGGAGCUGGCAUUGGUCUGAACUGUGGGUGGAUGGGUGGAUUGCCUGGGUUCCAUGAGACAGGCCAGCGUGUGUGGGGUAGGGAGGGCCGCCGCAGUCCCCAGGCACUACCUAUGAAGCUCCAGCUUCUCCCUCCAUCUCCCUCCCCUUUCCCUUCCAGCCCCUCUUUUCCAGGAACCUUGCCACGCCCACACCUACGCCCUCCCCUCCCCGGCCCUCCACAGCUGCUGCAGCGCACCCAUACUCUGCACUUGCCUCACCAGCUCUGGCUUUUCUCUAACCCGUUUUCUCUCUGCUUUCUCUCCAACUGCCAGCUGAUCGGGUCAGGCAAGUCCAUCCCGUCCUGAGAGCCCCAGGCCCCACUUCGACCUCUAAACACAUCCCUCCUCUUCUCAGAGACCUCCCUUUCCAAGCCUGCCUGGGCGGGUGUCCUGUGACUUGACAGUGGCUCCCCCAGCCCCAAAGCCAGCCCCCUUCUUCUGUGACUUAGUCUGUUGUAGUGGUGAGCUGACACGUCCAGGUGUGACCGUUGCUGAAAACUUGUGCCCCCUCUGUGGUAUGCCCCUGCCCUGUUCUAUAAAUAGCUAUAAAUUCUCUCUCUCACACACACACACACACACACACACACACACACACAUAUAUACAUAUAUAUACGUGGCCAACUGCCUCACCUCUAGCACUGGGAAUCAGUCCCGUGCUGUGCUUGUGGAAUCUUGUAGCCCAGCAAGAGGAAGCUGUCUCCUGACAUCGCCCCUCCAAAGUGCACCACCUCCAGUGAGCUUCCGGGACAUGCGCGGCCUGUGGACAGCCAGCCCCCGCCAUCCCUCCCGCCCUUCUGGCCAAGCAUGGCGGUGCUGUGCAGGCAGCUGUGUGGCCUGACAGUCUCUACCAGUCCUGCUGUCCCUUGGCUGAGAAACCCAUUUCUGGAUGACAGAGAAUGUGUCCUCUGCUGGCUGUGUUCUCUAUGGAGCUCAGGGGAUGGAAAAGGCCAAGCCAUUUUUAGGGUGCUGUUGGGAGCAGUGAAAAGGUCACACCCUUUUCAAGGGACACUUUUCCUGGAAAGUCCCUGGAGCUUAGCUGGCUCUUACCCUGUGAAGCCAGCUCUGGCCACUAAGGGACAGGGCCCUGAACUCAGCCUGGAGGGAACCUGCGGGGCAGCCGGCACUCUGGAGGGACAGACAGGCCACCCGGUGCAGACAGGAGAGGGAGGCAGGGGGACAGAACGGAAGACACCUGGGGUGGAUGGAAGUCAGUGCCCUUGGGCACUGGUAUCUGUCUUCCCUGCCACAGCUAGAUCAGGCUUCUCAACCAGUUGGCUGUCAGGGCCAGAGUGUACUCCGUAGGCGCCAUGGCAGUCCCCAUGAAAUCCACCAGGUGUCACCAGGCAGCAUACAGGUAACAGGCCUGGAAGGUCCCCAACAGCCCAGCUGGACAUGCUGAGACACUCUGGGGCUCCUCAUUCAGUGGGACAAACUGCAGGACCCAGUGAGGGAAAUGGGAACAUACCAGGCCGAGCAGUAUGGCUAAAUCCAUUUAUUCCAAAAUCAAAAGCAAAAAACAAAAAACAAAAAACAGGAGUCCCAUCACCAGGCAGCCAUGACCCCAUCCCCGCCUGCUUCCUCGCUCCUAUGCUAGCAAUAAAUAAGUUUCCCAGCCGCGAAUAAUUAUAAGAACCUCUUCCUCAUAUGCCAGCUGCAACCUCCGCUAGGUACGAUACAGAAUGUUACACAGCUACAGUAUGUACACGGGGGAAGGGGGGCCACCCCCAGCAGCCUGUGCCCUGGCCUGGUCUACAGUUAACUCCACUGUCCCGCCUCAGCUGCCUCUCUGAGUAAGAAGAUGGGAGCCCCCCUGAGGGAAAAGUUGCUUUGGUGAGAGUAAGAAGGCCGUCAGACCUCCUCCAAACAAACCAACUCCACCAACCUCUGGCUCUUAAAUAACAAACAUCAUCAUCCAGAAAUGUAAGGACUCAGCCUUGGUCAAGGUGGUAAAGGGUCUGUUUGUCUCCCUCCAUUAGACAAGGGUCUUGUCUUGCUACCCUAAUGGUAAAGGGCUGACUGGGGAGGGGUUGUAGGGACAUGGUGGGGGUGAAGACUCCAGACCCACUUCUCCAGGCUUAUGCUGACAGGGGCCUGCUUUUAUUUAUUUUUAUUUUUAUCCCAUGACUUUUUUUAAAUCCUGUAACUAAUUUUUCAUAACUUUUUAAAAUAACUUUUCAUAAAACUUUUUUUUUACUUUUUUUCCACAACUUUUUUUUGCCACUUUUCCACAGUAUUUUUUUAUCCUGUAACUUUUUCAUCCCACAACUUUAAUUUCUGUUAACUUUUUUAGUUUGUGUUCUUUUAAUAAACACACUUACAUAGUUACAA